UGGACCAAGGAUGAGAAUGUGUCAUCAACCAAGGAUUAUGAUUAAUGGAAUCUUGUGCACCUGUGGUCCAAU
rnacentral:snoRNA from 1 species